UGAAAUACCACAAAUUACCUACACACCAUUUCCAAAGCAUGGUGAUGACAUGUGUUCUAGAAUCAAAAGGGGCUGGGGAAGGGCUGUUGAUAUUAAUUUAAAUUUUUAUUUAAAUGUUUAUUCCUGCAGGAGAAGUCAUUCAGUGGAGAUGAAUUCUGACUGCUGGUGCCCUGUCACCAUGGUGAGAAUUGACUUUCUGAGGAGAUCUUUCCUCUGUUGGAACUCUGGAAACUGAGAAUUUUGGAUUUUCUGUGCAGACAGUCACUGAUCCCCAAGAAAACUCUGCUUUUGACCUGGGGCUGUGGAGGAGGCUUCCAAAUCUGAGUGAUAGAACUGGAAUCAUGAGCCAUUUCCUGGAGUCCUGGCACUGGUGAAGAGCUCAGUGCCUGCCCCUCCUCUUCCUCUCCUGAGGAUAUUGAAGAGCACCAGAGUUCAGCCUUCUCUUCCCCAGGCUGAACAAACCCUGAGAGUCACUUUUCCCUCCCUGGAUGCUGCCCCAUAUCCUUUUCU